CCUGGCGAAAUCAAGCAGUGACGUGCCUCCUCCGUUCCUAACCCCAAAGCCGAAGCCACCGUGCACCUCACCAUAACCACUAGCAUCAUCCCCAAUAUGGCCAUUAAAGUGCCCUCCAAUAACUAACUUCUCAGAUCGGGGAAUACUACUCACCAUUUCAUCCAAGUCCUCCCAAAGCGCCUCUUAACCUCCUCGUCUAAGCCCGCUUGCGGCGCAUAAGCGCUGAUGACGUUGAGGACGCAACCCCCAAUAACCAACUUAAUUGACAUUAACCUAUCAUUCACUCUCCUAACCUUGACCACGAACUCCCUUAGAUCCCUAUCAACAAAGAUGCCCACUCCAUUCUUACCUUUCACGACCCCAGAAUACCACAUCUUAAACCCGUC
rnacentral:lncRNA from 1 species